rnacentral:rRNA from 1 species
UACGGAAGGCAGCAGUGGGGAAUAUUGCACAAUGGGCGCAAGCCUGAUGCAGCCAUGCCGCGUGUAUGAAGAAGGCCUUCGGGUUGUAAAGUACUUUCAGUCGUGAGGAAGGUGUUAAGGUUAAUAACCUUAGCAAUUGACGUUAGCGACAGAAGAAGCACCGGCUAACUCCGUGCCAGCAGCCGCGGUAAUACGGAGGGUGCGAGCGUUAAUCGGAAUUACUGGGCGUAAAGGGCACGCAGGCGGUUAAUUAAGUUGGAUGUGAAAUCCCCGGGCUUAACCUGGGAAUGGCAUUCAAGACUGGUUAGCUAGAGUCUUGUAGAGGGGGUAGAAUUCCAUGUGUAGCGGUGAAAUGCGUAGAGAUGUGGAGGAAUACCGGGUGGCGAAAGGCGGCCCCUGGACAAAGACUGACGCUCAUGUGCGAAAAGCGUGGGGAGCAAAACAGGAUUAGAUACC